CUCUCCUCACUCUAAAGACUUACCCAGCAUGACCUUCAACCAAAACUUCUCUUUUGAGGCUGUGAAGGAAUCUAUCUCUGGAGUGAAUUUGCAGCUGGAGGAGAAACUGGAUGACAUCUUCAGGCAGGAAGUAGUCAGAAUAUCUGCAGCAGUAACAAGUAUCCAGAUCAUCCAGUCUUUAGAAUCUGAUCCUGAGCUCCCAGUCAGAAGAACCAAAAGUAAGGACAUGCCGCCACUAUCGAGUAAGUCAUUAGAUGAGAGAAUGCGACCCAGAAAUCACACUUGCCGUGUAAAUAUUUGUGGAAUAUGGGGGAUUUCAGGGUUGGAUAAGAUGUGCUAAAGAUUCAAGGUAUGGGAGAAUGUUGCGGUAUGAAGUUCAUAAACAUUUUAAACUAA